rnacentral:rRNA from 1 species
GUAACACGUGAGUGACCUGCCUUUUAGACCGGAACAACUUACCGAAAGGUGAGCUAAUGCCGGAUGAGUUAUAUAAGUGCAUGUUUAUAUAGGAAAAGUUGGGGAGACCUGACGCUGAAAGAUGGACUCGCGUCCCAUUAGCUAGUUGGUAGGGUAAUGGCCUACCAAGGCGACGAUGGGUAGCCGGCCUGAGAGGGUGGCCGGCCACACUGGGACUGAGACACGGCCCAGACUCCUACGGGAGGCAGCAGUGGGGAAUUUUGCGCAAUGCUCGUAAGAGUGACGCAGCGACGCCGCGUGAAUGACGAAGGCCUUCGGGUCGUAAAGUUCUUUCGACAGGGAAGAAAAUGCCUAUAAGUAACUGUGUAUGUAUUGACGGUACCUGUAUAAGCAGCCCCGGCUAACUCCGUGCCAGCAGCCGCGGUAAUACGGAGGGGGCGAGCGUUGUUCGGAGUGACUGGGCGUAAAGAGCACGUAGGCGGUGUUGUAAGUCAUUAGUCAAAGACUAGAGCUCAACUUUAGUAAGGCUAGUGAUACUAUAAUACUAGAGUAUCAGAGAGGAUUGCAGAAUUCCUGGUGUAGCGGUGAAAUGCGUAGAUAUCAGGAGGAAUACCGUUAGCGAAGGCGGCAAUCUGGCUGGAAACUGACGCUGAGGUGCGAAAGCGUGGGUAGCAAACAGGAUUAGAUACCCUGGUAGU